CUUUCAAUAGUUUUUUUUUAAAAAAGCUACUCCUAAACUACCUCUCUCUCUCUCUCUCUCUCUCUUUCUCUCUCUCUCUCUCUCCCUUGUUCUUCAUCCUUCAACCACCCAAAAGGAUUCAGAAUUUCGUGUUCUUAGUUUCGCGCAUCGUGUAAGGAUCUUGUUCUAAGACUUGAUAUUUUGAGGAAGCUUGAGAAGCAUAGAGGUUGUGUCAAUACAGUUGGCUUCAAUGCGUCUACAGAAAAGUGAUAUUAUGGGAUUGGGAAGUUGGCCAUGCCAAACUCUCAUUUCAUUCUGGUCAUUGUAACAAUGUGUUUCAGGCAAAAUUCAUGCCUUUCAGUGAGGACCACGGCAUUGUGACUUGCACAACAGAUGGCCAGUUAAACACGCACAAAUUCUUGAAGAUGGACGUGUGGAGACCUCUUCUCUUGGUAGCCAUGAAAGUCGAGCUCACAAGUUGGCUAUUGAACCUGGAAGUCCUCAUGCACAUAUUUUAUACUUGCGGUGAAGACGGAGUGGUUCAGCAUGUGCGUAUCUCUGCAGGUGGCUUCAAGUACACUGUCUGCUGCUGUGUUUCUUUCUGGUUGCUAGUUCUGCUGUGACAUGUGCUGCUGUUUUGUGCUACCGGCUGCUCCCCCUUGUAGUUGCUAGUUGUAUUUUUUUGGUUUGGGUUGCGGUCUGUGCACCCUUUUUUAUAGGUUGUUGUUUCUUUGUUUGGUUUCUACUAGUUCCUACCUUUGGUAAUAAAGUUCUUAAUUUAGCACACACAAAAAAUAUGCAAAAACAAUUAUGAUUUAUGAAAUAUGAAGUAAUUUCUCA